rnacentral:rRNA from 1 species
UUAGGAAUCUUGCGCAAUGGGCGAAAGCCUGACGCAGCCAUGCCGCGUGAAUGAUGAAGGUCUUAGGAUUGUAAAAUUCUUUCAGCGGGGACGAUAAUGACGGUACCCGCAGAAGAAGCUCCGGCUAACUUCGUGCCAGCAGCCGCGGUAAUACGAAGGGGGCUAGCGUUGCUCGGAAUUACUGGGCGUAAAGGGCGCGUAGGCGGACAGUUUAGUCAGAGGUGAAAGCCCAGGGCUCAACCUUGGAACUGCCUUUGAUACUGGCUGUCUUGAGUUCGGGAGAGGUGUGUGGAACUCCGAGUGUAGAGGUGAAAUUCGUAGAUAUUCGGAAGAACACCAGUGGCGAAGGCGACACACUGGCCCGAUACUGACGCUGAGGCGCGAAAGCGUGGGGAGCAAACAGGAUUAGAUACCCCCGUAGUCC